UUUCCUUUGGGAGACAUCCUUUCAUUUGGAUGGUGAAUGUCAGUUGAAGUUUAUGCUGGAAAUUGGACCACCUACUUUGAUGACAGCCGAUGUGAUCAAGUUUUUAAGUAGUUUGGCUACAAAUCAAGGUUAUUUAGUACAAAGUUCUCGC